CUAUAAAGAGUUUAUAUAAUGUGUCAUUGCAUACCUAUUUGAAGGUUUGUGUCGAAUUUGAAUCGGGUUUUUAGGGCGGUGCUAAAGUGAUCUUAGAAGUAAACAGCGGCUUUGAGAAUGAUGAUCGCAUGCAAUGAUGACGAAAAAAAUGACUAGGUAUCCCCCCUUGCCCCUGUCACUGUCCAUUUCUUGUUUUUAAACGAUGAGAGAAGUGCUACACCUGGUGGAGAGAGAUUGUAACACAGAAAUAGUUGCUUUAUGUGUGCUGUACGUUACGACAUGACACAUCAAGAUGUAUCUGAGGGUCAGUUUUUUCAACUUUUCUCCAAUACUAUAGAGCCUUUACCAUGUCGAUUAACGCUUGAAUAGAAACCUAGUUCACACCCCCGAUUUUGAAGUCAACAUAGUCGCUACUGUCCCAUUAGUUUUCUUUGUAGCCUCGUUUGAAUGUCGCGGUUACGCACAUUUGUGCGGAACGGGGUGAGUUUACGUUAGCUAGCUAAGAUUGAAUGGACAGUACAACAUUUGAGCUAGCUAAUGUUAGCAUUGCUAGCUAUUUCUGACUAACUUUGGUAGCUAAUAGCAACAUUUCCCUCUCUUUAAAGUACAUUUGACAACAUAAUGAUGGCAAAGUUGCUUCCUACUAAUUAUUUGCCUACUUUAGCACUGUCAUUGUUUUUCAGAGCAAGAUGUAGUUUAAUUUAGACAACUCAUUAUGCCUGUUCAGAAUGACGGCAUUGGUCAUCAGUGGGGCACCAAUAUGGCUGCGGGCGGCGUCUGUAGAAAGUUCAUAACAAUGGGAACGAUACAACCGAGUGAAGGCGGUGCAAUCCAUGAAUAAAACUAGUCAACAACAUAAUUUGGGUAUGAGUUAACAUUAUGAUAUGCGUGAUGUGAGUUGUACAUUUCUGACCAACCAGGGUUGCCAGGUCAAGCAAAAAUGUCUCACCAAUGACCACUCAAAACCCGCCCAAAAGGCCUGAAUACUAGCCCUUUUUUUGUUGUUGCCAUAUCUAUACAAUAAACCAUUUGUUUCAUAACGUUUUCGAGCCAAUUAAGAAGGAAUAUCAUAGUAACGACGUUUGAAGCUAAAUUCGGGUUUCCUCAAAAUAAUAAUUAUUGCAAGCUAUGACAUAAAGGAAUUUGAAUAUGUAGCAAGAGAAGAUAAUUUUCCCUUAUUAAACUCGCCAGAUAAAUUUCCAUCAAUGGAUGUCAAUGUAACUCGUUUAACUGCUAUGAUUAAGCAAUAAGGCACAAGGGGGUAUGAUAUAUGGCCAAUAUACCACGGCUAAGGGCUGUUCUUAAGCAUGACGUAACGCGGAGUGCCUGGAUACAGCCGUUAGCCGUGGUAUAUUGGACAUAUACCACUACCCCCCGGGGUGCCUUAUUGCUAUUAUAAACUCCUUACCAAUGUAAUUAUAACAGUAAAAAGUUAUGUUUUGCCAUACCUGUGGUAUAUGGUCUUUCAGCUUUCAGCCAAUCAGAAUUCAGGGCUCGAUCCAGGUAUAUAAUUGUAAAUAAAUCCCCUUUGUGCAUAACUAUAGAUAAAUCUGACAGGAGUGUUUGAGUGAUGAAAGUUGGACAGAGGAUCUCUAAAUCUCUUGAGCAAGAAAUGCUUGAUGUACAUAAAAAAAAUAAUGUUAGUCAAUUGUGCUGUUUUUUUUAAAACCUUUAUUUAACUAGGCAAGUCAGUUAAGAACAAAUUCUUAUUUUCAAUGACGGCCUAGGAACAGUGGGUUAACUGCCUUGUUCAGGGGCAGAGCGACAAAGAUUACCUUGUCAGCUCAGGGAUUCGAUCACAAGUCCAACACUCUAACCACUAGGCUACCUGCCACCGCCUGUUAUUAUGUGCCAGAUGUCAAGACUACAAACCGUUAUAAAUGGCCCAUUUGCAAAAUUGAGUUUGCAUUUCAAUAGAUAUAGGCUACAGACUAAAAUCUGUGUUUAUGUUUGUAAUUACAUUUUGCCAUAGUUUGCUUAAAUAAAGGCAGGUAGCCUGUAGCCUAUAGCCCCUGAUAGGCCUACAUCUCACGCUUAGUUCAAAUGAACAGAAUAAUUUAUUCAACAUGAAUAGCGAGGCGAUUUCGCAAUAAGAAGUGCUUGAGUUUCCCAGUAAUAGGCUACUGAGGAUGUGGUCAUAAAUUCAAUCACUGAAUUAAAUAUUAAUAAUAUGUAUAUUACCCGAAUAUGCUUGUCAACAACAGCCAGUGUUUAUUUUUUAUAAUUUGUUUUACCUGUAGCCUAAUCUGACUACUGUUACUGUCAAUCUAAUGCGUUCAUAAUAACACAAGGCUAUAACAACAAUAAACUGAAGUUAUAGGCUACUUAUGCCAGCUCCUAUAGGCUACACAAGUGGCACAAAUUGAUUUGCAAUGACUCUAGUGAUAUUGUUAUUUCAACAUAUGUAUUGUAUAAAAUGGAAGCCUACAAUGGCAUAGACAUUAAUAGGCUACUUGACAGCCGACAGAGGCAAAUGUAUAAUUCUCCACAUUUAGCCUAAUGUCAGCUUCAUUGAGGACUUUUCCCCAUAGAAAGAACCUUGCUAGGUUCCAUAACUUCAACUUCCAUUUUAAAUUUCCACUAGAGCAGCCCCUGAGACUCAAGAACUGAGCAUGCAUAAAGCACUUGGCUUGAUAACCAUUUUCUUUAAGCAGUCAACAUUAGAAUGCAGUUUAAACCACCUCCUAGCGGAUUUGUGUAAUGCGCUCUAGUGCGCCCAAAGUCUUUUUCCAGUGCUUUGUCUGCACUAUUUCUUGAUGUGCAUCAGUUCUGUCGCAUUAAUGUGUUACAGAGAAAGGUUUGGAAAGCAGCAGGUCACAGUGAAAUAUAUUGUCACAACCUGCUCCUUCUCCUCUAUAUAUUUUGAAGAGAAAUGGCGUCCAACAUGGCAUUUUUCUUUCAAAUAUAUUUCACUGUGACCUGCUGCUGACUGUCAGGUAGUUAGGCAGGCUGUUGCUAAGUGAGUGAUUGGUGGGAGGGAGUGUGUGUUGAUUGCAGUACACUUAUAAGCUAAGUCACGGUGAAUGUACACCAAAUAGCAGUAAAUUGCAGUGUGCUGCUUAGGCCGCCCAUUGUGAGUCGCUUGUGGGUAUGCUGGCAGCAUAUGGCAGCAUGUUCGAUUGUGCAUCAAGAAUUCAGCAUAGCAAGUUUGUAUGAAGUUCUGGUUAUUAAAUGGGUACAUAGUUCAAUAGGAAUAUCCUCUAAAAAGCUCUGGUGACAAACAAGCUUUGCUGCCCUGUUUCCAAUUGUCCACAUGCCUGGGAGGAGGUAAAGUAAAUAAACUCAGCAAAAAAAGAAACUUCCUCUCACUGUCAACUGCGUUUAUUUUCAGGAAACUUAACAUGUGUAAAUAUUUGUAUGAACAUAACAACAUUCAACAACUGAGACAUAAACUGAACAAGUUCCACAGACCUGUGACUAACAGAAAUGGAAUAAUGUGUCCCUGAACAAAGGGGGGGGGUCAAAAUCAAAAGUAACAGUCAGUAUCUGGUGUGGCCACCAGCAGCAUUAAGUACUGCAGUGCAUCUUCUCCUCAUGGACUGCACCAGAUGUGCCAGAUCUUGCUGUGAGAUGUUACCCCACUCUUCCACCUAGGCACCUGCAAAUUCCCGGACAUUUCUGGGGGGAAGGGCCCUAGCCCUCACCCUCCGAUCCAGCAGGUCCCAGGCGUGCUCAAUGGGAUUGAGAUCCGGGCUCUUCGCUGGCCAUGGCAGAGCACUGACAUUCCUGUCUUGCAGGAAAUCACGCACAGAACGAGCAGUAUGGUUGGUGGCAUUGUCAUGCUGGAGGGUCAUGUCAGGAUGAGUCUGCAGGAAGGCUACCACAUGAGGGAGGAGGAUGUCUUCCCUGUAACGCACAGCGUUGAGAUUCCCUGCAAUGACAACAAGCUCAGGCCGAUAAUGCUGUGACACACCGCCCCAGACCAUGACGGACCCUCCACCUCCAAAUCGAUCCCGCUCCAGAGGACAGGCCUCGGUGUAACGCUCACUGCUUUGACGAUAAACACGAAUCCGACCAUCACCCCUGGUGAGACAAAACCGCAACUCGUCAGUGAAGAGCACUUUUUGCCAGUCCUGUCUGGUCCAGCGACGGUGGGUUUGUGCCCAUAGGCGACGUUGUUGCUGGUGAUGUCUAGUGAGGACCGGCCUUACAAGUCUACAAGCCCUCAGUCCAGCCUCUCUCAGCCUAUUGUGGACAGUCGAGCACUGAUGAGGGAUUGUGCAUUCCUGGUGUAACUCGGGCAGUUGUUGUUGCCAUCCUGUACCUGUCCCGCAGGUGUGAUAUUCAGAUGUACCUUUCCUGUGCAGGUGUUGUUACACAUGGUCUGCCACUGCGAGGACUAUCAGCUGUCCGUCCCCUCUCCCUGUAGUGCUGUCUUAGGCAUCUCACAGUACGGACAUUGCAAAUUAUUGCCCUGGCCACAUCUGCAGUCCUCAUGCCUCCUUGCAGCAUGCCUAAGCACGUUCACACAGAUGAGCAGGGACCCUGGGCAUCUUUCUUUUGGUGUUUUUCAGAGUCCGUAGAAAGGCCUCUUUAGUGUCAUAAGUUUUCAUAACUGUGACCUUAAUUGCCUACCGUCUGUAAGCUGUUUGUGUCUUAACGACCGUUCCACAAGUGCAUGUUCAUUAAUUGUUUAUGGUUCAUUGAACAAGCAUGGGAAACAGUCUUUAAACCCUUUACAAUAAAGAUCUGUGAAGUUAUUUGGAUUUUGACUAAUUAUCUUUGAAAGACUGGGUCCAGAAAAAGGGAUGUUUCUUUUUUUUUUGCUGAGUUUACAUUUUGAGAAUGUAAAAAAAAAUAUGUAUUGAGCUGCCAACUAGCUAGCUAUCUAGCCAACUUCACAUACUGUAUAGAUAGCUAAGUUAAUAAAAAAUCACCAUCUGCUUAACUUAAACAACAUAUUAGCCAGCUAUCUUGAUGUUUUUAUCACUGUAAAAAGCUAACUCCAAAUGCAUUUGUAGGUAGCUAGCUAACAGCCAUGGAGGAGAGUAAAAGGAUAGCAGCCCCAACUGUCAGUAAGAGAGUAAGCUAUUCUGGAUAGGGCAGGUACUUUUGUGUAGUUCCUGUCCCUAGAAGUGAGGAUGGAGAUAAUAGUAACAUAAUAUUCAGUGAGGUGUAAUUUGACUAUAAUGAAGUAUGUUUCUUGUGAUGUUUUCUGUGCUCAGAUAAAGAGAGCUAUGAAAGCCUGUCUAUAAAUGAAGAGCAGUGGUUCUCAGUCCUGGUCCAGGGGACUCAAAGGGGUGCAGAUUUUGUUUUUUUCCUUAGCGCUGCAGAGCUGUUUCAAAUGAUCAACUCAUCAUCAAACUUCAAGUGGUAUUUAUGUAUUCAUUUGUGAUGCUAUCCUUGUUAUGAUCCUGUUAUUGUCACAUGCUACACAUAUGUGUGCCCAUGCAUCUAUCAAUCCAAUGUUAUCAGGGAUAUUAUACUUUAGUAAUCCACAAUGACCUGGUGAUGUAAAAGUCUAAUUGCUUUGUCUUCCAUAUUCCUACAGAUACUUUGUAACUGGAGAUUCCUUCAUAAUGAUUGCUUACAGUUAACUUGUAGGGCACUGCAAGGUUGGGUGACAAGGGCCACCUGGGACUGCCUCCUGGAGGAAUUCGGGUGUGUUAAGGCUACCUGUGUCCUGCGUAACUUCAUGAGGAUGGACAUGAGGAGCAGGAGGGGAUGUGCAGCUCGCUGCCCGUGUGCCAAAGGAGUAGUCUGCUGCUCUGCAGGAUGUUUCAAGGAUGGGGUCCAACAACGCAGCAAGACAGGCAGUCUGUGUGCGGGAGAUCUUCACCACCUACUUCUUCGAAGAGGGUGCUGUUCCCUGGCAACACCAUAGACUACACUAUGCACAACCAAAGGCUCUUUAAAGAGCCAUUCACAUUGCAAUAAGAGUAUUCUUCCAUUAACUUAGCUAUGUCAACUGCAGUUAUUUAAUUCCAAGUUUCUCUCCCUUUGAUUUCUACUUCUCAGAUGAGGGGGCUGUUUAGGUAUAAUUUUAUUUUUUUAAACAGGCUAUUUUAAAUCACCCAUAUUGAAAAAAUGUAGAACAAUUAGACACGCUAUAACCCACACCUACACAGUCAUGUAUCAAUCUGAUUGAUGGAUUGUGUUGUGCAGUAAGCAGGCUCUGAUGUAUAACUGUGGCUCCUUCCACCUUCAAAGAAUAGGCAAGAGGGCACACCAUGGAGAAUAGUAAGACACGUCAUUAUUUCUAUAACUACGCUAUAUUGUUUGUCCUAAUGUGUUCGUUCAUGUUUUUCAGCAUAAAGUACUCUGCAGCCACUUAGUGUGGUGUGGACACCAGGUUAUAUCAGCUGUGUCGGUGAACCCUUCCCGCAUCUGAACUGGCUACAUAGAGGCCACAGCAUGAUCAGAGAUAUGUUUUGAUGUGAGAGAGGAUGCCAACCCCCAGUGCCAUCAUCGCCACCUCACCCGCUUUUAAGAUAACAUUCGGGCCAACUAGACACUUAUGUAAUUGUGAUGAACUGAGAGAAUAUUUGGGUUGCACUAUGAUUCAUUAAUCAUAUGCUGCCUUCCCUGCUAUGUUCUUACCUCUUUCCCUUUCUGUAUUUUACACCUCUCUCGCACCUCCUCUUUCUUCCUCUGUUUUAUAAUGCACAACAGAUGUGCAUUGAAGUACAGAUUGAACUUGUAUUUAUAAUAUUACAAUUAUAGUAUUUAUAAUGCUUGUAUUUAUAAGACUUGGAUAAUGAACUUCUUUCAAUAAAGCGUUU